rnacentral:rRNA from 1 species
ACGCUCGACACCUACGGGAGCAGCAGUAGGGAAUCUUCCACAAUGGACGCAAGUCUGAUGGAGCAACGCCGCGUGAGUGAAGAAGGUCUUCGGAUCGUAAAACUCUGUUGUUAGAGAAGAACACGAGUGAGAGUAACUGUUCAUUCGAUGACGGUAUCUAACCAGCAAGUCACGGCUAACUACGUGCCAGCAGCCGCGGUAAUCUGAGGCGGCUGGCAAGGC